CCUACGUGUGGCAGCAGUGAGGAAUAUUGGUCAAUGGGCGCGAGCCUGAACCAGCCAAGUAGCGUGAAGGAUGACUGCCCUACGGGUUGUAAACUUCUUUUAUAAAGGAAUAAAGUGAGGCACGUGUGCCUUUUUGUAUGUACUUUAUGAAUAAGGAUCGGCUAACUCCGUGCCAGCAGCCGCGGUAAUAAGGAGGAUCCGAGCGUUAUCCGGAUUUAUUGGGUUUAAAGGGAGCGUAGAUGGGUUGUUAAGUCAGUUGUGAAAGUUUGCGGUUCAACCGUAAAAUUGCAAUUGAUACUGGCAGUCUUGAGUACAGUUGAGGUAGGCGGAAUUCGUGGUGUAGCGGUGAAAUGCUUAGAUAUCACGAAGAACUCCGAUUGCGAAGGCAGCUUACUAAACUGCCACUGACAUUGAUGCUCGAAAGUGUGGGUAUCAAACAGGAUUAGAUACCCCAGUAGUC
rnacentral:rRNA from 1 species